UGAAAUCUUGUCAGAAAAUGUCAUUCCACAAUUGCAAAUUAUUUAUUUUUGAAAACAUCAUUGACAGCGACCAACACCUCAAAAAAAUAAAAUCGGCAAAUUCCGCCAAAAUUGGCUCCACCGGUGAGGACCGGCGUCGUCGAUUUCAUCAACGCACCACCGACUACUCUUCAUCUUCUUAAUCAUAACUACCACCAACUCACAGAUCCACCACCACUGCUAAGACCAUAUUUUCGACCGUUAAUUUUAUAGUACCCAUCACCAAGGUCCAAGAGCAAUACAACCUCCAUCUCUGUCAAUUUCAGAAUCCCUACCAUCAUCGUUAAUAUAAUUUACCCUCGUUGACAAUUCUGCAAUACCCAACAACAACACCAACAGCAAAGAGAAUUUAAAAAAUUAAAGAACAAUAGCACGAGAUGAGAUGGUGGUGUGUGAAGAGGCUUAACAGUGCCGCCACCAAUUCCACUAAAUCCGCAGCAAAUCAUUCAAUUUUUUCAUGAAUUAAAUUUCAAUUUCUUCAAUGAAUUGAAUUUGAAUUUAUUCAUGAAUUGAAUUUCUAUUUUCUCAUGGAUCGAACAUCUUCCUCGGAGUAUUAAGGUGUAACAAUUACAUUCACCUCCAUAGACACCUCUGACAAACAAUUUGUCCUAUCACCUAUGCCAAGAAAAUUCGGUGGAAUGAAAGAUGUGGGGGUGGCGACGGAGGAACAGUGAAGGAAAUCCUAUUUGAUUUAUGGUGAUGGGUGGAGAAGAUAGUUUGUGAUAGAAGGAAAGGUGGAGAGAGAGAAAAAUGUAAAAAUUAAUAAAUAAAUUGGAAUUUAUUUAUUUUUAUUUAUUUUUUUGUUCCUCCACGCAUGUUUUGGAGAGUGAAAACACUCUCCUUAUUAGAGGAGGUGUUAAAUUCACUUGCAACAAAAUUAAGGGGGUAAUAAUUAUAUAUAAAGUUAGAGUGCUAAAGUAAGUUAGAGUGAAAAGUUUAGGGAGAUUUUGAUGCUGGAGAAAGGACAAGAGUCUAUAAGAUCAUUAAUUGGCGUAUAGACUUUGGAAAAAAUCUCUCAAAGUCUAAAAUUCAG
rnacentral:lncRNA from 1 species